GCCUCGGUGGCGGAAUUGGCAGACGCGCUCGACUCAAACUCGAGUACCGAGAGGUGUGAGGGUUCGAGUCCCUCCCGAGGCA
rnacentral:tRNA from 1 species